AGUGAAAGAUUAACAUAAUUAAUUACUGACUGAUGAUGAAAGGAAUGUCAAAAUUCACUGACUUUUUUACAAAUACAAAAUUCCAAAUAUGAAAUAAUUUGAAGACAGUUAAAAAAAUUCUCGAGCUUGUGGAAACUUUUUAAUCGGUUCACCGACCAAAGACGGCGAAGGGAACUUAGGGCAACCAACACUUUUGUCAAAAUGACCAAAGUACCAUCUCUUUGUUUGUUGUUUAUGGGCUUUUUUUUCUUUUCAGAUCUCUCUCUCUCUCUGGGUUAGAGAACUCCUAAACAAUUUACUGCUUUUCUCACAGUAUAUUUUUUCAUAAAAAAAAGAAAGGAAAUGGAUGAUAUUACCAGAAAAAGAAAGGUGUGUGGAGCAAAACUACAACUACUAACUUACCCAGAGAAUGAAUAUAUUGACUUUUCAUGACCUCAUCACAACAUUUUAUACCUUUGUUGACGUCAUCACAAUCAAUCCCACCACACACGACGCGCAGAGACUAAAUUUUUCCCCUAACAAAUGUAAGCCAUGUUUGUUUUCUCAGAACACACAAAAGAGAAGAUGAUGAGAGGAGAGGGAGAGAGACGACAACUCAAGGCAAAAGAGUAAAACACAAUUAUUCAAUCUCUCUCAAUGAGUGUAAUUGUCCUGCAGUUUGCAAUAUAUAUAUUAUCUUCAAAACCCAA
rnacentral:lncRNA from 1 species